rnacentral:lncRNA from 1 species
AUGGAGCUUUUUGACCCAAACCCUAAUCUUUUCCAGCCUCCAUCUUCCUUCUUCCACCAGUCAAGCAAAUCAAAUGAAAUGGUAGUUUUUCUCAUCUUCAUCUUCUGACAAAUGGAUCUUAUUUAUCUUCUUUCUCACACAGCAACAAAUGACAACCUAAUUUCUGCUAAACCCUAAAACCCACCAUCGCAAAUUUGCUUUGUCUGUUCUUGAUCGAUUCCUCUUUGAUAAUUGAAGGUCCACAUAUAAAGACUGAGUGUUAGAUGUUGGAACCGGACUUGAAAAAUUCGAAAUAAAUUUCUACUUUUGUAGUGGCAAUCUCAAGAUUUCAAAUCCGUUUCUCAAUUGUCGUUCUUUCAUUCGGCAUUUCGAACAAUUACGAUUAGUUUUUUUUAUAUGAUUCAGGUAUAAUUUGAAUCAUCCUUGAUGUUCCGGCUGUUCAAGACAAUGAAUUGGGUUGGUUCGGUAUCCUUUUAAUCAUAUAAUGGUCAAAUACACUUAAUACACCAUACAAUUAUAUUUUCCUUUCCUAAUUUUUUUUUCUUCAGGCUUUUUUGUCUAUUUCGAGUUUAUCUAAUAACUAGAUUUGUUUAUCGUUUAUUCUAUCUUGGCUCUUUGUGUAGAUGUAUGUUUUUUGAUAACACAAAUUUAAAUAUCAAUAUAAUUGUGUAUGUUUUGAAUGCGUUCUAAUCCGAUUUUUAUUACUUUUUUGCAUCUAAUCCGAUAAUUGUGAAACUGCAUUAGCAUAUUUCUUUCUCUGUAGUGAUCAUCUUUAAUAGCACUAAAAGGCACAUCAAGAUACUAAGUAACAAUGGUGCCAUAAACUUUCGGGAUGCAUCAUCUCUAUUUCUUAUUCCAAUCCUAUCAUUCAAUCAAACAGAGGAGAUUAAUGAGAUUGAGAGUGUGUUCAUGUGCAACCAGGUUCUGGAAUCGGUUGGGUAACGGGUCAGAUGGGUAUAUUUGUUCAUGUAUAUUAUUUAAUCAAAAACAGUUAAUUAUUAACUAAUAAGAGUUCUAUUUUUUAUAUUGGUUGCUUUUUAAGCUAGGGGAAAAUGGUAAUGGGUCAACCAGAACCAUGACCUUUUUGCAAAAGUACGAAAGGGUCAUGGUUUGGGUUGAAAAGAAAGAUUACUAAUUUAGUCAGCUAGAAGCCAAAUGUCAUGGUUGGAAAAAAAGAUUUUUAUUUAAUUAAAGUAACGACAAAGUAAUAUUUGGUAUGUAUAUUUUUAAUCAAGUUAUAUGUUCUUAAAGUUUAGAAAAGAAAACGCCGACCAAAAUGGUAUAGCUCAGCCUUUAUCCAAGUCACUGAAAAGCCUAAUGUAAAAAGAUCAAACGACCACCUUCUGUUUUAAUAAGUUGGUUUUGUUACGUUAGUUAAGGUCUCAAGAAAUGCAAAGAUUGGGAUAAGCCAGGGAUGUGGGUAUGCGACCAUGAGCUCACUUGGAGAAUCCAAAGUUGAAUUGCUACUCUAGAUGGUUCAAACAAUAAACCUUUGAGAAGUUGUAAAAUGCCCCACACCAGAGCCUCGAGUGGAGUUUCCUGUAUAUAGAAGGAAUUGACGCCAUAUGGGUACCGUACAAGUAUUAAUCUUCAUUUCAUGUACCAGUUCAUUCCAGAAUGACAUCGAUCAACAAUUUCCAGAAAUGCCAGUGAUUUCUUCAACUCCGACUACCGUCGAAAAGACUUCAAGGAUUGCACUGAUCGCCGCCCACAGAAUCGUUCGAGCUCUCGAUUACGAUGUUGAUGAAUUUUAGGCCACCUGCGACCCAGUGAUAGGUUUGAUGCAACUUAAAAUACGAGCCUGUUAGGUCUUUAAGUUGGCAGGUGUGAUACUGCAUGCUGGCGUGAUGAGCGUUUCUUCAUCAGGUUCUAGACAGGUUUUGGGUGGAGAUCUUGCUCGUAUGAUACAAAUCUAAUAUAGCCUUUUUCAUUUAAAAAUGGGCACCAUGUUUCAAACUUUGAGGACUUAAAUAGGGGCGGGUCUGCUUGGACAACUGGUGUAAGAAGUAAUAGAAUUAAAACAAAACCCUUGGAAUAUUGGAAGGGUGAAAGACCCUUGUAUGCAUGAGUUCAUAACAGUUAUGUUAAAUAUCCAACGGGUCAAACGGGUAUAAUAAUAAACAUGUCAAUGAGCCGAGUAUGUGAAACAGAGCCAUUGAAAAUGGUUUCUCUUGUAAAGACUGUGAAGAUGAGUAUGAAAAUGUAAGUGAAGAUGGAGGUGCAUUUUCUAGGUCCGUACAAGUUGUAAAAUUGAACAAUGUUGAGAGAAAUAAUCAUUCUUUAAAAGAAAGAAAACCAGUGAGUUUUGUGAAAUCCAAUUUUAGUAGAAGCAGUACAAGUAGAAACGAGUGGUUUAAGUGCCAUCAAUGUAGGAGAACCGACACAAUAACAGUUUCUUCCACCAAGUGUAAAGAAAAAGUAUAUCGUAUCCAAUGCAUCAAGCAAUGGUAUCCCCAAUUGUCAAAAGAAGAUUUUGCAGAGCUAUGCCCAUUUUGACGUGGAAACUACAACUGCAACUUGUGGUUACAGUCCAACAUUAAGAUGCCGAAAAUUAAAUUUGAUAAUGAUGUGAAGUUGCAACAUCUUCAUUAUUUAAUCAAUUCACUCCUUUCGUUUUCUAAACAAAUCUGUAAAGAACAAGAAGAGGAAAAUAUCGGUGGAAGCAUCUUCUCGAGGGGUAUCACAGUCUUCACUUAAAAUUAGGCUGGCAGAUUGUUACACUGAUGAGUGUGUCUAUUGGUAGUUUUCUUAAGUAGCUUUGUAUUAUAUAUAUGCAUAACCACAUCCUUCUCAAUAACUUAUUUUGUGGGGCCCUUGCUUUAUUUGAACCAGCAACCAUUGCUCAACAUCAAUAUCUGAUCUCCAUAGAAGUUGUUCAAAAUGCUCAUAUGAGCUAUGUCUUAAUUGCUGUCGGGAAAUACGGAACAAUGAACCUAUCGUUCAAAGAAAAGUAGACUUUGGGUACUACUUUAGAGGUUUUGACUAUGUUCAUGGGGGGAUCCUUAAUGAAUACCACUUUUCUUAAAAAUGCACCGAUGUAUGUAUAAAAUAUUAUUUUAACCCAUUUUUAUAUUUGUUUGGUGUAUAGAGUUUAGCAACUUAAAAUUCUUUAUUAAAUAGAUAUUGAUUUAAUUGAUUGGGGUGAAUGGCAAAAUGAAUUUACAUAAUGAAUCAAAGAAUUUAAUUUCUAAUUUGAUUUCGUUUGCAAAUUAAAAGUCUUUGUGAAUAUGAAUGUGAAUAGUGCAGCUAAUUAUAUGGAUGGCAUAAAGAAUCCACGUGGGCUACAAGUUAACUUAGAACAAGAAUUUCAUUAUUUGGGUUGACACAAUUAAUUAUAAAGGUCUGGGCUGAACAAAGUCAUUGGGCUCAAUAUUUUUGUGGUCAACGAAAAAAGAGAGGGGGGAGUCGCAAGUUAAUUGGGGAGAGAAGAAUUGUUUUUUUUUGAAUAAAAAGAGGAAAUUCGCACAGUAUUUAGAUUUUAGACUACGCACAACACGGAGAAAAAACAAGCAGCCUAUUUGUGUGGAUAUGGUAUGUAUGGAUUAAUAGUUAUAUGCUCAACAUGAUAUUUUAUAAAUUCUAUAAUGCAGAAAGUGUGCAUUAGCUAUCGGUGUGCUACAAUGGACUGAAAUCCAUGUUCUUAUGUUUCUAAAUCUAUUCUUGAAAAUGUUAUAUGUGAUAUGUUAUUUCUUACUAAUAGAUUAAAAGGCUUUUGCAAACCCAAAAUUGUAACAAGUUAACAAAUUGUCGACCACAAAUCACAAUUGCCAAGUGAUAGCCUAUACGACAACAUACGUCAUUACGUUGUACAAACACCUAGAGGUAGUUGAUUGUGUUACAGUUAUUUUUUGCUUCUCAUUACCAAAACUAAAAAACAAAAUUUCUCAUUGUUUUUAUUGGUUGUAAGUUGGCUGCUAAUAUCAUUUUUGUUUAUAUGAUUAUUAUAUUAUUAAAGUCAUUUUUAAAUUUUAUUACAGCUUUAAAUACGGCCAUUGCGAAGAUCGAUAGUAAAGAGUGGACUAAUCUCAUGUUACUUUUAGUAAAUUGUAAAUGUAAAAUUAUUUGUCUUUUUUUUGAUGUUUUUGUAC